UACGGGGGGGGCAAGCGUUGUUCGGAAUUACUGGGCGUAAAGGGCUCGUAGGCGGCCAACUAAGUCAGACGUGAAAUCCCUCGGCUUAACCGGGGAACUGCGUCUGAUACUGGAUGGCUUGAGUCCGGGAGAGGGAUGCGGAAUUCCAGGUGUAGCGGUGAAAUGCGUAGAUAUCUGGAGGAACACCGGUGGCGAAGGCGGCAUCCUGGACAAUUGCUGACGCUCAGGCACGAAAGCGUGGGGAGCAAACGGG
rnacentral:rRNA from 1 species